UUAAUUCUAGAUUUAAUUCAGACACAGACGGGUCGAUUGCAUAAAUACGACGCUUUUGGCGUCGAAGCACAACUUGCUUCCACAGUUUUAAAGGUUGAAGGCCCAAUGGGCCAUUCGUCAAUGAUCCCUCCGCAGGUUCACCUACGGAGA
rnacentral:misc_RNA from 1 species